rnacentral:rRNA from 1 species
CAAUAGCGUAUAUUUAAGUUGCUGCAGUUAAAAAGCUCGUAGUUGGAUUUCGGGUGGGAAUGGCCGGUCCGCCGUUUCGGUGUGCACUUGCUACGCCCACCUUGCUGCCGGGGACGUGCUCUUGAGUUCACGCUCGGGACACGGAGUCGGCGAGGUUACUUUGAGUAAAUUAGAGUGUUCAAAGCAGGCCUACGCUCUGAAUACAUUAGCAUGGAAUAACACGAUAGGACUCUGGCCUAUCUUGUUGGUCUGUAGGACCGGAGUAAUGAUUAAGAGGGACAGUCGGGGGCAUUCGUAUUUCAUUGUCAGAGGUGAAAUUCUUGGAUUUAUGAAAGACGAACUACUGCGAAAGCAUCUGCCAAGGAUGUUUUCAUUGA